rnacentral:lncRNA from 1 species
CCGACUCCAUUAUUCCUAGCAUUGAGGGCCGACAUCUCUCCAGCUGCUCUGAUCGACUCCAUCAUCACAAGUCGCCACGCUUCUUCCCAGUGAACCUCUACAACUACCUCACAAGUCACCGGUAGUGGUCGCCGGCCCAAAAUUUUGCCCAUCACAUCAUCUAAUUCACGGUUUAAUCUCGCAAGAAACUCAUAAAUUCUCUCGUUCUCCUGCUUCUUUUUGUAUAGAGAACAAUCAUCUGGGCAAUUUCAUUUUUCUUCUGUACUGAGGUCUAAUUAUUGUCAGAGCGUCACCAUUUCCAUGUAAUAGUUUGUUACAUCCCUGGGUCCUUGCCGAGUUUGCCAAAGUCUGGUCUUUAUUUCGAAGACAUGAGACAAGUCUUCAGAAUCUGAGUAGGUAUCUCUUACCAAGUCCCAAACGUCCUUUGUAGUCGGGAGAAACAGGUAUGUUUUACCAUGGCUGGUUUCAUGAAAUUCACCAACCAAGCAAUCACCAUGGAGUUUUCGGCCUUCCACUUGGGCAACAGGGAAGCAUCAGUUGGCUUCUUGGUCUCAACCAUAAGAUAACCCAACUUCCCUUUUCCUUCAGUUACCAGUUUUACGGAUUGGGCCCAUUCCUGAAAUUUCUUUCCAUUCAGCUUCUCUACCGUGAGUUGGAGAGAAGAGUUUUCAAGUCCCUAUGUACCAAUUGAAUGACUAAACUCUAUUUCAAAGCUUGAUGUUUUAG